AUUGAACGCUGGCGGCAGGCCUAACACAUGCAAGUCGAACGGUAACACGAUGCAGCUUGCUGCUUCGCUGACGAGUGGCGGGCGGGUGAGUAAUGUCUGGCAAGCUGUCUGAUGUAGGGGGAUAACUACUGGAAACGGUAGCUAAUACAGCAUAAUGUCGCAAGACCAAAGAGGGGGAGCUUCGGGCCUCUUGCCCGCGGAUGUGCCCAGAUGGGAUUAGCUUGUUGGUGGGGUAACGGCUCACCAAGGCGACGAUCCCUAGCUGGUCUGAGAGGAUGACCAGCCACACUGGAACUGAGACACGGUCCAGACUCCUACGGGAGGCAGCAGUGGGGAAUAUUGCACAAUGGGCGCAAGCCUGAUGCAGCCAUGCCGCGUGUAUGAAGAAGGCCUUCGGGUUGUAAAGUACUUUUAGCGGGGAGGAAGGGAGUAAAGUUAAUACCUUUGCGCAUUGACGGUACCCGAAGAAGAAGCACCGGCUAACUCCGUG
rnacentral:rRNA from 1 species